rnacentral:rRNA from 1 species
UACGGAAGGCAGCAGUGGGGAAUAUUGCACAAUGGGCGCAGGCCUGAUGCAGCCAUGCCGCGUGUAUGAAGAAGGCCUUCGGGUUGUAAAGUACUUUCAGUCGUGAGGAAGGUGUUAAGGUUAAUAACCUUAGCAAUUGACGUUAGCGACAGAAGAAGCACCGGCUAACUCCGUGCCAGCAGCCGCGGUAAUACGGAGGGUGCGAGCGUUAAUCGGAAUUACUGGGCGUAAAGGGCACGCAGGCGGUUAAUUAAGUUGGAUGUGAAAUCCCCGGGCUUAACCUGGGAAUGGCAUUCAAGACUGGUUAGCUAGAGUCUUGUAGAGGGGGUAGAAUUCCAUGUGUAGCGGUGAAAUGCGUAGAGAUGUGGAGGAAUACCGGUGGCGAAGGCGGCCCCUGGGACAAAGGACUGACGCUCAUGUGCGAAAGCGUGGGGAGCAAAC